rnacentral:tRNA from 1 species
GCCUCGGUGGCUCUGAGGUGACAGCGCCGGCCUACAGAUCCCCAGGUGGCGGGUUCGAAUCCCGACCGAGGUG